GAUGGAACAUUCCCGCCUUCUCCAAAGCUCCCUAGUGUGAAGUAGAGAAAAGACCACCCCUUGUGAGCUCAAGGCUGCAGCCUAUUCUGAGUGACUU